GUGUGCUAUAUAGGUUGGUUGUCCUCAUAACCAAGGAGCAUAGAGAUGUUAGUAUGGUAUACAGAUAAGAUGCAGGGGUACAUCAUCACUGAAUAAAUAACUCAUCUGCGAAAUGCUCUACUGUUAAGAGCAGCUCACAAAGCAUAUGAACAUAAGUAUCUCUCUAUUUGAUAUCAUCUAGUGACUUGCAAGCAACUCACUAUGCUUUGGUACUGGACUACUUACAUUUUUAAUGCAGUGAUGGAAGGCU
rnacentral:lncRNA from 1 species